AUUGAACGCUGGCGGCAUGCCUUACACAUGCAAGUCGAACGGCAGCACGGGAGCAAUCCUGGUGGCGAGUGGCGAACGGGUGAGUAAUAUAUCGGAACGUGCCCAGUCGUGGGGGAUAACGUAGCGAAAGCUACGCUAAUACCGCAUACGAUCUAUGGAUGAAAGCGGGGGAUCGCAAGACCUCGCGCGAUUGGAGCGGCCGAUAUCAGAUUAGGUAGUUGGUGAGGUAAAGGCUCGCCAAGCCGACGAUCUGUAGCUGGUCUGAGAGGACGACCAGCCACACUGGGACUGAGACACGGCCCAGACUCCUACGGGAGGCAGCAGUGGGGGAAUUUUUGGACAAUGGGCGCAAGCCUGAUCCAGCAAUGCCGCGUGCAGGAUGAAGGCCUGG
rnacentral:rRNA from 1 species